rnacentral:rRNA from 1 species
AAAGACUCUCGGCAACGGAUAUCUCGGCUCUUGCAUCGAUGAAGAACGUAGCGAAAUGCGAUACUUGGUGUGAAUUGCAGAAUCCCGUGAACCAUCGAGUCUUUGAACGCAAGUUGCGCCCGAAGCCAUUAGGCUGAGGGCACGCCUGCCUGGGUGAUG